UUGGGUUUUAUAAGUUGGUUCUUUAUUCUGUGUUGCGGGACGGUGUGGGUGUGGUCCAUGUUGGCCGUACAGGUGGCAGUUAUGCAACCGAGGGAUGAUCCUGUUGAAGUUUCCGGCGGUAUGCGGUUUUCAGCGGUCACGCCUGUUGCAGGAGUGUCACUCGACGAGGUUACGAGCUCGAAGCUGUGGUCAGAUUCCUCGUUGGUGUUCCGUAAUUCUCUUCGCACGUGCGCGGUGUUGCUGCGAGAUCCUUAGUAUGGCUGCGUGCAGCAUUGUAACACUUGGUGGAGGCAUUUGAAGUGGUAGCCAAGAAUAGAAAGAAUCAUCCUUGUCUGCACGAAUGCUUUCAAUUUCUAAAUGCAGUGGUAACUAUCACUAUUGGUGCAAGGCCCCCCCACAUCUAUGUGGCAAGUGCCAUAGCUCGAAACUGAAUUGUUCCUUUAGUGUUUCACAAGGCAUCUGAUAUGUCCACAUUAGAUGUGAUGUGUUUGUUUUUAUUUAUCCCAGUGUGGAGAGAGCAUCAUUAAAUGUUUUUUUUUUAUUUUUGCGUGUCUUGUUUUUUGGUUUAUUUCUGAAUUUAUCAUGAUGCUAAAGUGACUUAUGUAAUGGCAAUCAGCUUUUGUUUUGCAGAAAAACAAUGCAUUUCCUGACCCAUUGUUUGACAUCCCCUCACUCGCAUAAUUUUGCAGAGUAUUCUACCUAUAUUGACUUGCUUGACCUCCACUAAAGAGUCUUGCAUUUUCAAAUACGACUCUUUCCUUAAAAUCAUUCGACACUUCUCACAAUUUCUGUACCUUGGGCUUCUGAUACUCUGCAGUCACCAUUUUUGCUUGUUUCUGACUAGAAAUAUCUUCUUUAAUUUAGAGCUUAAAUUUUACUUUUGGAACACAUGGAAGGGCUUGCCAUUGCAUAUCUGCAUAAAAGGGAAACGUGUGGUAUUCGGGAUUAUGUCAGUAUUGCAUAUGUGCCUGUUGUCUAAAAUAAUUGAAUUUUGAAAAUGCUCGCAGGGGCCUGAUGUGCAUAUCUGCAGUUUAUGGAUACAUGUAAAAGACUCAGCAUCAAGUGCAAGUGAACGGUCCCACAGGCGCGGAGUCGAUCAUGCAAAUAGAUUCGCUGCACACAUUUGUGACCAGAAAAUAUAUUCCACAUGAAAUGGCAUGCAAGGAAGUGUUGGAAACAUUACACAGUUAAUAAAACGCCUACGCUAUCAAUAUGUGGGUUGAUGCACUCGUUAUGCAAAACGGAGGUGAGGCGUGCAGACAGGACACGAGAGUAGAGUAUUUACAAGCAAACAACACAAGCGCCGCCCACUUCUCUACUCUUGUGUCCUGUCUGCACGCCUCACCUCUGUUUUGCAUAAUGAAUCCUUACCAACUAGCUCAGCUUUCUGUCGUUCUAAGUCUCGAUGCACUCGAUUUCGUCCGCAUUAUAGGCACUCGCCUCUUGAUUACUUCGUGGCACAGAAAUAUUCGGCAUCAGGCUGUUUUUCUGCUGUGGCCUUUGUAGAAGCAUGAUUGUUCAAAGUGCAACAAUUAAACAGAUUCUUUGAGUUG